GACGAACCGUGCGAACGUUGUUCGGAAUUACUGGGCGUAAAGGGCUCGUAGGCGGCCAACUAAGUCAGACGUGAAAUCCCUCGGCUUAACCGGGGAACUGCGUCUGAUACUGGAUGGCUUGAAUCCGGGAGAGGGAUGCAGAAUUCCAGGUGUAGCGGUGAAAUGCGUAGAUAUCUGGAGGAACACCGGUGGCGAAGGCGGCAUCCUGGACCGGCAUUGACGCUGAGGAGCGAAAGCCAGGGGAGCAAACGGG
rnacentral:rRNA from 1 species